GAACGCUGGCGGCGUGGAUUAGGCAUGCAAGUCGAACGGUAGGAUACCUUCGGGUAUCUGGAGAGUGGCGAACGGGUGAGUAACACGUAGGUGAUCUACCCUCAAGAUUGGGACAACCCAGGGAAACUUGGGCUAAUACCGGAUGAAAGCAGCAGUGAUGUUGUUUGAAAGGUGGCGUAAGCUGCCGUUUGGGGAUGAGCCUGCGCUCUAUUAGUUAGUUGGCGGGGUAAAGGCCCACCAAGGCGAUGAUAGAUAGGCGGCCUUAACGGGUGGUCGCCCACACUGGGAUUGAGAUACGGCCCAGACUCCUACGGGAGGCAGCAGUCGAGAAUAGUCUACAAUGGCCGAAAGGCUGAUAGUGCGACGCCGCGUGAACGAAGAAGCCCUUCGGGGUGUAAAGUUCUUUUAUAUGUGAGCAGUGCUUUCUAUGUGAACAGCAUGGGGAGAGAGAUAUUAGCAUAUGAAUAAGCAACGGCUAACUCCGUG
rnacentral:rRNA from 1 species